UAAAAAAGUUUUCCACCACCUGGGUCAGAGGAGGGGCACCUGCGGCAGCAGCAGCCAGAUACCCAAGAUGUGCCGAAGUGGAAGGGCCUCGGCACUGGCACCCUUUACAUCACUGAGAGCCACCUGUCUUGGUUAGAUGGCUCUGGAUUAGGAUUGCCACUGAAAUAUCCCACCAUUAUUUUACAUGCAUUGCCAAAGACCAAAGUGAUUAAGAGAGCAUUUGUAUGUUAUGGUGAAUAACAAACUUGAAAAGUCCUAAGAAUCUGUUUCUGAUGAAGAAGAGGAAGACAGUGAUGAUGAUGUCAAACCUAUUACUGAAUUUAGAUUUGUACCUAGUAAUCAGCAUUGGAAGCAGUGUUCACUGCAAUGUGUGAAUACCAGGACUUGCAUCCAGGUCCUGAGGAUGAGGAUUCAAAUAACUACAAUGGAGAAUAUGAUGUGGAAGCACAUGAAUAAGGACAAGAUGACAUCCCAACAUUUUACACCUAUGAAGGAGGAUUAUCCCAUCUAACAGCAGAAGACCAAGCUACACUGGAAAGAUUAGAAGAAAUGCUUUCUCACUCUAUGAGCAGCCAGUAUAAUAUAGCUGGGGUUUGGACAGAUGAUUUCAUAAGAGAUUAUGAAGAUGGGAUGAAGGGGAUACCAUGCCAACAGUUGCUGGACAGGUUGAGGAUACAGAUGUUGAUCACUGAAAACAAUUUAUGCAAGUUUAAGAUUCCGCUCCUAACUGUAGGAGACAACUUGGUACUUCUUCCACUCUGGAGUGAAGUUGAUGAAAGUCUUUUUCCUUUUCCAAAACCCAAGUUGAAUCAGUUCUUUUUGAGGCAGACUAUACUGAGACAACAAGUUGUCACCAGCAGAAGACAGAUACUAUGGCCUCUAUUAACUUGAUGAAUUAACUUAACCAAGAAGGUAUUUGUAGUUUAUUAUUUACCCAAAACUUUCUAUGCCUGAAUACUCUCUGAGUAGGCCUAUAAUUCCUGCCUUCACUGUAUGCAUCUUCUGUAAGCUAACAGACCUAUGUGGUGAAAAGGCACAGGAGCUCGGAGGCGU